rnacentral:rRNA from 1 species
CGCCUGUUUAUCAAAAACAUAGUUUAAGGAAAUAAUCUUAAAUGUAUUCUGCCCAGUGAUUAUUAUUAAAUGGCCGCAGUACCUUGACUGUGCUAAGGUAGCAUAAUCAAUUGGCUUCUAAUUAAAGUCUGGAAUGAAAGGAAAAAUGAAGUAAUUCUGUCUUAAAGAAUUUUUUUUGAAUUUAUUUAAAUGAUGAAAAUAUCAUUUUUUUAGAAAAAAGACGAGAAGACCCUUAGAGUUUUCAAUUUUUUUUUGUUGGGGCGACAAGUAAACAAUUAAACUUUACAAUAAUUAUAAAUCGAUUUUUUAUAAGAAUAAUUAAACUACCUUAGGGAUAACAGCAUUAUAUAUUUUUUUAUGAUUGUGACCUCGAUGUUGGACUAGGAACUUUAUGGCUAGCCGUCAAAAAAGAUUUGUUCUGUUCGAACAAUAUUAUCCUACGUGAUCUGAGUUCAGACCGGA